GGAGAGGUGGCCGAGUGGCUGAAGGCGCACGCUUGGAAAGCGUGUAUACGGGAAACCGUAUCGGGGGUUCGAAUCCCUUCCUCUCCGCAA
rnacentral:tRNA from 1 species